UGGUUCAUGAAGAAGCAAUCAACAGAACUGAUUGGCUGUGGUGGAGGGGAAGGUCAGAGGAGCGGGGAGGAGAAAACUCAGAACUCCUUUGUGCCUCUGAGAGCGAGGGUGCCUGGGUAGGAGGUGGCACCCCCAGGAGGGACGACGGACGUCUAAAGAAGGAGCAGGAGUUCACAUCCACCCUCAUGUCUGUGUGGCAAGAUGGCAGAGGGUGACCACAGGAGGCCUGGCGUGCAGCCGACAGAGCCCUGCAAACCCAAACAUCACGUCCCCUGACUCCUCUCAGACAUUGAUGAAGUGCCAGGCAACAUGCAGGAGGCAAACUGCUAGAACUGGAGGAGACUGGAUCGAUGAGGAAGAUACGGUGUUCCUGCUCUUGGGAAGCCCACAGACAUUUCCAUAAACAGCUACAAACAACUUGGAACGUCGUAUAAUAAAGGCAUGUGUGUUAUGUA